ACGCUCGACACCUACGGGAGACAGCAGUGGGGAAUAUUGCACAAUGGGGGAAACCCGUGAUGCAGCGACGCCGCGUGGAGGAAGAAGGUCUUCGGAUUGUAAACUCCUGUUGUUGGGGAAAAAGAGGAUGGUACCCAACAAGGAAGUGACGGCUAACUACGUGCUAGCAGCCGCGGUAAUCUGAGCGGGCUGGCAAGGC
rnacentral:rRNA from 1 species